UACGGAGGAUGCAAGCGUUAUCCGGAAUGAUUGGGCGUAAAGCGUCCGCAGGUGGCAGUGAAAGUCUGCUGUUAAAGAGUCUGGCUUAACCAGAUAAAGGCAGUGGAAACUACACAGCUAGAGUGCGUUCGGGGUAGAGGGAAUUCCUGGUGUAGCGGUGAAAUGCGUAGAGAUCAGGAAGAACACCGGUGGCGAAGGCGCUCUACUAGGCCGCAACUGACACUGAGGGACGAAAGCUAGGGGAGCGAAUGGG
rnacentral:rRNA from 1 species